AGCCGCGGUAAUUCCAGCUCCACAAGUGUAAAUCGUCAUUGCUGCGGUAUAAGCUCGUAGUUGGAUCUCAGUUACGUACUUUGAUUCGCCUUUGGCGUUAAUCAUUGUCGUGACUAUUUUGUUGGUUUUCUGUUGGUGGCCUCGGCUCCUUCAGUGGCUAACGAGUUUACUUUGAAUAAAUUAUAGUGCUCAAAACAAGCGUUUGCUUGAAUGCUCGAUCAUGGAAUAAUAAAAGAGGACUUCGGUUCUUUUUGUUGGUUCAAGAACUGAAUUAAUGGUUAAGAGGGACAACUCGGGGGCAUUCGUAUCCCUGCGCGAGAGGUGAAAUUCGUGGACCGCAGGGGGACGCCCUACAGCGAAAGCAUUUGCCAAGAAUGUCUUCAUUAAUCAAGAACGAAAGUCAGAGGUUCGAAGGCGAUUAGAUACCGCCCCUAGUUCUGACCGUAAACUAUGCCAUCUAUCGAUCCAAUGUUCUAUUGUAGCCUUGUUGGGGAGCUUCCCGGAAACGAAAGUCUUUCCGGUUCCUGGGGUAGUAUGGUUGCAAAGCUGAAACUUAAAGAAAUUGACGGAAGGGCACCACCAGGAGUGGAGCCUGCGGCUUAAUUUGACUCAACACGGGAAAACUCACCCGGCCCGGACACCGUUAGGAUUGACAGAUUGAAAGCUCUUUCUCGAUUUGGUGGUUGGUGGUGCAUGGCCGUUCUUAGUUGGUGGAGCGAUUUGUCUGGUUUAUUCCGAUAACGAGCGAGACUCUAGCCUGCUAAAUAGUAUCCAGAUUUUCAGGUCUGGUUGACUCUUAGAGGAUAAGCGGUGUAGCCGUUUAACGGCAGGAAAUGACGAUUUACAACUU
rnacentral:rRNA from 1 species